UACAGAGGUCUCAAGCGUUGUUCGGAUUCAUUGGGCGUAAAGGGUGUGUAGGUGGCGCCGUAAGUCGGGUGUGAAAUUUCGAGGCUUAACCUCGAAACUGCAUUCGAUACUGCGGUGCUUGAGGACUGGAGAGGAGACUGGAAUUUAUGGUGUAGCAGUGAAAUGCGUAGAUAUCAUAAGGAAGACCAGUGGCGAAGGCGGGUCUCUGGACAGUUCCUGACGCUGAGGCACGAAGGCCAGGGGGAGCAAAACGGGG
rnacentral:rRNA from 1 species